CACACACACAUAUACACACACUUAAGCUUAGUUAUUGUAUUUCCACGAUAUAUAGGAGGCCAUUUCAUGUGAUAAGCAGCACUGCACAUGCAAAGGCCAAGAGUGAUUUCUUGCUUACAUUAAAGCCAUCGCACAACUCAGAAGUUGUCAGCUCUCACAUAAUGUGAAGCCACAAAGGCAGCCAGCUUGGCACUCCUGGAAAUUGGCAUGAGUGAGAGAGACAUAGCAAAAAAACUGAAGAUCUCCAAGACAGCCGUUCAUUACACCAAGAAAGAACAAGCCGAACAUGGUACUACCAAAUUGCUAGCUGGUCGUGGCAGGAAACGUCUUUCUACCGUCCAGAUGACUGUGCACUCGUCCGUUCCUGUGUCAGGAAUCUCCGUCAGACCUCUGGGGACCUUAAAAAUGAGUGGGCACUGUCAUGAAAUAUGACUAGUUCGGCAAGGACCACCGUUCCCUCUAAGCUGCGCGUGUGCACAAUUGCGCACUGCUGACCCGGUCUCCGCGCACAGAAAAUCUGCGCUGUGCACAAAAAAAAAAUCCAACCUAAAUUGUAAAUAAAAUGAACACGUAACAAUUCAUUCUGUGCUAUUUUUCAAUGUGAGUCAGUGAGUGACAGGUGACUGGCUGCUGCAGCCAAUGAUGCGAUUCACAUACGUAUUUACCAUAAACUGUAUAUAAUGGUAUUUACACAGCUAAUCAACGUCAGGCGUCCUUAUGUGCAGCCACCGUUAGAUAUGAAUGAGUAUGUAGGACACGCCCCUUUGAGCUGCGUGCUACAGCGAGGCUAAGCUAGUGGGGGCAAAGUUUCAGUGCAUUCCGUUGAUGUAGACGGCAUGAAAACGGAAACAAGUAUGCCGUCUCACUGUGCUGCAUACAGUUGCACACUGCCUCGUACGAUUGAGACAAGGAAACUUGGAAUGACUUUUCAUAGGUUUCCCAGAGACUAUGGGUUGAGGAGGAAUUGGAAGUUUGUCGGCUUAGACCUGGUGUCAUUCCAUCAGUGUUAAACUUCCCGGCUCAUCUUGGAAGAGUACGUGCCAGAAAGACCACGACCAAGCAGCCUUGAGAUCUUAGCCAGCGUCUCCCUGAGGUCCCUCUCUAUCUCCCCACACAUCCACCAACCACUGGAACAUAUCUCCAAAGUUCUGCCGGGCCAGCUCAGCUUCCCCGCAGAAGAAGUGCCGCCACCUGCCAGAUGAAGGAGCCUUUUGAGAGGCAGCUGGCAUCGUGAUUGGACUGUACUUUGGUCUGUUCCAAUCCAGCUUCAGCUCCAGAGACGGCAGGCGGGACGAAUCAACGGAGGCCGGGUGGACGAAGGCAUGCAGCUGAGUACAAUCCAGAAAACAACAGAGGAGGAGUACAGCGGCUCAGGGCCAGAACAACCAGAGUAGCAUCGUAUGUCUCUUAUUAAACAUCAUAGUAUAGCCUUUGGUAUGAAAAAAUGCCAUCAUAUACAUCGUAUAUUGUACAAAUAACAAGUUAAAGGAAAGAGACAUACACUGUAGAAUUGUAGUAAUUGUGGGCUGACUGAUUUACUGAUUAUCAGCAUUUUAUUUUUUAGAAGAAUAGAAUAGAAUAUUCUUUAUUGUCAUUAUACAAUGUAUAAAAAGAUUGCAGAGCUCCUUCACAGUGCAAGGAAAUCUUAAAGUAGUGCAAAAACAGUCUAUUUACAUAUAUACAGUAUAAAUAACGGAGUGAAUAUAAAUAGCAGUGAAUGAGACAGUGGUGUAUAUUGCACAGAUGCACUAUGUUGUUGGCUUUGUGUGAGACCUGUGAGAGUUCAGGGUGGUGAUGGCUCUCGGAAAGAAAGUGUUUUUAAGUCUGUUUGUCCUCGCUUUAAUGCUUCUGUAGCGCCUUCCAGAGGGCAACAGAUCAAAAAGCUGAGAACCGGGAUGUGAACUGUCCUUGAUGAUGUUCUGAGCUCUGCUGAGGCACCAGGUGGAGUAGAUGUCCAUGAGGGAGGGGAGAGGACAGCCAACAAUUUACUGAUUUAUGACCAAAGAACUACAGACUCUUCACAACCUGCUCAAACUCUUGGUACAGGACCUCACCACAGGGGUCAAGAAGGUUUCUGUCUCAUUUCUACUCUGCAGAUCACCUUCUCCUGCUCAAACUGCUGACAAAUGUUUCUGCUGCUCUAAAGUCUGGUCUCCAGAACUUCCUAAAAACUCUCAAAGUCUCUUCUGCUGCAGGUUGCUUUGUAGAACUGUUGCAGAAAACCUCACUAAACCACAUGGAGGGGCCUCAAGAUAGUCGUACAAAUGAAACCAUACAAAAACCAAACUAGCACAACCCAAACGCUAAAGUCUCCUGCAGCCUACCAGAGAACCUCUGAGAACAGAGAAUCAGAACAGGAACUCUUACCUUCUGGACAACCAACGUUGGUUCACAAACAAGAAUACAGAAUGUGUCUGACCAACAACCUCUAAAGACUCACUACAGCCAAGAUAAAGACACAACUCAGCUGUACCAAAUCCACUAAUCACUGCACACAUUAGCACCAUGUGCUAACUGUGGCUAAAGAACCUCAUUUACCAAGACAACUAUCCAGUACAAAGCCCUAAAACACACCAAGAAA